AUGAGUGGGUUGACUUUUCUUGACGUGUAUUUUAUACAACGAGCAACUACCUUGCGCCGUCUUCCAGCCACCAACAACCCCAUGACCCUGCAUCAGACAAAUUUGAUUUUGGGAAGACAAAGGUCUGACAAGGAUGAGAAUGGGAUACCAGAUUACAACGAUGGAGGCUCGGACAUGGAUCUGCUCAUGCUCUCAGCGGGAAUACUGAAUGUUCUCGAAGCUUUGCCAUACACACGUGCAACUUUUGGCACUUGUGUGGGCUCCAGUUUGUGUCAAUGCAAUUUGCAUCUGUCAGCGGAUUAUGGCGAGCUUGGUUAUUGGCCUACAGGGUGCUCCACCGAUGGUGAAAAUACCUCACAGGAUGAUGUUGGAUAUUAUUCUACAAACUUUGGGCCUACCGGUGGCUGA
rnacentral:rRNA from 1 species